rnacentral:rRNA from 1 species
UACGUAGGCAGCGAGCGUUGUUCGGAGUUACUGGGCGUAAAGGGUGUGUAGGCGGUUGUUUAAGUUUGGUGUGAAAUCUCCCGGCUCAACUGGGAGGGUGCGCCGAAUACUGAGCGACUAGAGUGCGGGAGAGGAAAGUGGAAUUCCUGGGUGUAGCGGUGAAAUGCGUAGAUAUCAGGAGGAACACCGGUGGUGUAGACGGCUCUCUGGACCGUAACUGACGCUGAGACACGAAAGCGUGGGUAGCAAACAGG